AAUGCUUUACACAUGCAAGUCGAACGGCAGCACGGGAGCUUGCUCCUGGUGGCGAGUGGCGAACGGGUGGGUAAUACAUAGGAACAUACCCAGUAAUGGGGGAUAACGCCGAGAAAUCGGUGCUAAUACCGCAUACGCCCUACGGGGGAAAGCGGGGGAUCUUCGGACCUCGCGUUAUUGGAUUGGCCUAUGUCUGAUUAGCUAGUUGGUGAGGUAAAGGCUCACCAAGGCUUCGAUCAGUAGCUGGUCUGAGAGGAUGAUCAGCCACACUGGAACUGAGACACGGUCCAGACUCCUACGGGAGGCAGCAGUGGGGAAUUUUGGACAAUGGGCGCAAGCCUGAUCCAGCAAUGCCGCGUGCAGGAUGAAGGCCUUCGGGUUGUAAACUGCUUUUGUACGGAACGAAACGGCUCUCAUUAAUACCGGGGGCUAAUGACGGUACCGUAAGAAUAAGCACCGGCUAACUACGUGCCAGCAGCCGCGGUAAUACGUAGGGUGCAAGCGUUAAUCGGAAUUACUGGGCGUAAAGCGUGCGCAGGCGGUUAUAUAAGACAGAUGUGAAAUCCCCGGGCUCAACCUGGGACCUGCAUUUGUGACUGUAUAGCUAGAGUACGGUAGAGGGGGAUGGAAUUCCGCGUGUAGCAGUGAAAUGCGUAGAUAUGCGGAGGAACACCGAUGGCGAAGGCAAUCCCCUGGACCUGUACUGACGCUCAUGCACGAAAGCGUGGGGAGCAAACGGGAUUAGAUACCCUGGUAGUCCACGCCCUAAACGAUGUCAACUGGUUGUUGGGUCUUCACUGACUCAGUAACGAAGCUAACGCGUGAAGUUGACCGCCUGGGGAGUACGGCCGCAAGGUUAAAACUCAAAUGAAUUGACGG
rnacentral:rRNA from 1 species